rnacentral:rRNA from 1 species
AUUGAACGCUGGCGGCAGGCCUACAAAUGCAAGUCGGACGAGUGGCGGACGGGUGCGUAAUGUCUGGGAAACUGCCCGACGGAGGGGGAUAAAUACCGGAAACGGUAGCUAAUACCGCAUACCAUCAGAUGUGCCCAGGUGGGGCUAGCUAGUUGGUGGGGUAACGGCUCACCCAGGCGACGAGCCCUAGCUGGUCUGAGAGGAUGACCAGCCACACUGAAACUGAGACACGGUCCAGACUCCUACGGGAGGCAGCAGUGGGGAAUAUUGCACAAUGGGCGCAAGCCUGAUGCAGCCAUGCCGCGUGUAUGAAGAAGGCCUUCGGUUUGUAAAGUACUUUCAGCGGGGAGGCGUUACCCGCAGAAGAAGCACCGGCUAACUCCGUGCCAGCCGCCGCGGUAAUUC